GUAGCCAUCAAAGUGACUGUGAAAUGUUGAAUUAAGUUCAUAUCACAGCCAGCUUUGAUGAGCUUCA
rnacentral:pre_miRNA from 1 species